AUUGAACGCUGGCGGCAGGCCUAACACAUGCAAGUCGAACGAGUGGCGGACGGGUGAGUAAUGUCUGGGAAACUGCCCGAUGGAGGGGGAUAACUACUGGAAACGGUAGCUAAUACCGCAUACUAUCGGAUGAGCCCAUAUGGGAUUAGCUAGUAGGUGGGGUAAAGGCUCACCUAGGCGACGAUCGCUAGCUGGUCUGAGAGGUUGACCGCCCAAACGGGGACUGAGACACGGCCCAGACUCCUACGGAGGGCAGCAGGGGGGAAUAUUGCAAAAUGGGGGCAAGCCUGAUGCAGCCAUGCCGCGUGUAUGAAGAAGGCCUUCGGGUGUUAAAGUACUUUCAGCGGGGAGGCGUUACCCGCAGAAAAAGCAACGGCUAACUCCGUGCCAGCAGCCGCGGUAAUUC
rnacentral:rRNA from 1 species